CUGCCGGUGAGUAAGGUUGCCAGAGCUUAACGAGGGUGCUGUGUGUUAGGGGCCGGCAACGCGCAUGAUACACCCCUGGAUUUGCAGGCUUCCAUAGGCUACGGUGACUGCUUACCAUCAGGCGGGCCAUAUGCUUGUUUGCCACCGACGUAGUAUAAAAAUAA